UAGGUGUAGCGAGUGGUUGCUUUUUAAAGAGGAAAGUCCGAGCUGCUUUGGGAUAGGAUUCCAUUUAACUAAUGGCUAGAGUAAUCUAAGGGAAAGCGCAACAGAAAACAAACCGCCUAUUAUGGUAAGGGUGAAAAGGUGGGGUAAGAGCCUACCGAGAAUGUAGCAAUACAUUCUGUCAUUGCAAGCCCAAUCCGCAGCAAAAAGGGCAUGGUUAAUAUCCCAAGUUUUUAGCCCUUUGCUAGAUUUUUGCUGCAAAGCAAAAACAAGAUAAAUAACCACAUAAACAGAACUCGGCUUAUAGCUACACCUAUUUU
rnacentral:RNase_P_RNA from 3 species